UGGAAACAUUUCUGCACAAACUAGAUGUUGAUGCCAGUGUGCGGAAAUGCUUCUGCU
rnacentral:pre_miRNA from 1 species